GAGUGUAAGAAACUUGAGGUGAAACAAGAAAGUGCCAGUGAGUUGAAACAAAAAUGAGUUGGAACGAAACGUUUCAUACACAUGAAUUGAAACGGAAUACAUGUGUACCCAAACUAGCCAAAUGAAUAUAUUGCUUGCUCUGCCUAACUAUCAAACCUACAUAAGCUAACAAGUGGGCUAGUCCGAUCGGCAUGGACAUGAAACGGGAUCCGCCUCUGCUUAGGAGAUUGGCAAAUUUAUAGUAUUUUUUUUAUUAUUUUUUAAUCUUUAUUUUAUUUAAAGCAUUAUUUGAGUGAAAAGAAACACAUUGCAACAAAUUCGCAUUCAAAAAUAUCACAUUUAAAAAUUUUGCUACAUUGCUAAAAAAUGAGGAAAAUUUUACAUUUCCUCAAACAGGGUAAGGAACUUGGUUCCUCGAAUAACUUCCGGCACGGACACCUGAGAGCAUGGCCGUCCAAGAAGAAAAUGUAGCCGUUGGUGCCAUCUAUCGACCACAGGUUAAAGAUUGGCGAUCCGUUGGAUACCGACCGAGUUAUAGGCAAAACUUGGUGCAAAAAUGAGCCUUAGUAAAUUUUAAUUUUUGUGAAUUUUUUGAUUUUUUUUAUUAUUUUUCACUCUUUUUUUAUUUAAAGCAUUACUUGAGUGAAAAGAAACACAUUGCAAAAAAAUUGGCAUUAAAAUAAAUCAAUUUAAUUUUUUUUGCAAAAUUUCCCAAAAAAAUCGUAAGGGGUAAGCCUUAUAAAAUUUUCGAGUUGAAAAUUUUUUAAAAUUUUUUUUCUGAUUUUUUAUUCUUUAUUUUAUUUAAAGCAUUAUUUGAGUAAAAAGAAACACAUUGCAACAAAUUUGCAUUCAAAUAUAUCACAUUUAAAAAUUUUGCUACAUUGCUCAAAAAUGAGGAAAAUUUUACAUUUUCUCAAACAGGGUAAGGAACUUGGUUCCUCGAAUAACUUCCGGCACGGACACCUGAGAGCAUGGCUGUCCAAGAAGAAAAUGUAGCCAUUGGUGCCACCUAUCGACCACAAGUUAAAGAUUGGCAAUCCGUUGGAUACCGACCGAGUUAUUGACAAAACUUGGUGCAAAAAUGAGGAAAAUUUUACAUUUUCUCAAACAGGGUAAGGAACUUGGUUCCUCGAAUAACUUCUGGCACAGACAUCUGAGAGCAUGGCCGUCCAAGAAGAAAAUGUAGCCGUUGGUGCCAUCUAUCGACCACAGGUUAAAGAUUGGCGAUCCGUUGGAUACCGACCGAGUUAUAGGCAAAACUUGGUGCAAAAAUGAGCCUUAGUAAAUUUUAAUUUUUGUGAAUUUUUUGAUUUUUUUUAUUAUUUUUCACUCUUUUUUUAUUUAAAGCAUUACUUGAGUGAAAAGAAACACAUUGCAAAAAAAUUGGCAUUAAAAUAAAUCAAUUUAAUUUUUUUUGCAAAAUUUCCCAAAAAAAUCGUAAGGGGUAAGCCUUAUAAAAUUUUCGAGUUGAAAAUUUUUUAAAAUUUUUUUUCUGAUUUUUUAUUCUUUAUUUUAUUUAAAGCAUUAUUUGAGUAAAAAGAAACACAUUGCAACAAAUUUGCAUUCAAAUAUAUCACAUUUAAAAAUUUUGCUACAUUGCUCAAAAAUGAGGAAAAUUUUACAUUUUCUCAAACAGGGUAAGGAACUUGGUUCCUCGAAUAACUUCCGGCACGGACACCUGAGAGCAUGGCUGUCCAAGAAGAAAAUGUAGCCAUUGAUGCCAUCUAUCGACCACAAGUUAAAGAUUGGCGAUCCGUUGGAUACCGACCGAGUUAUAGGCAAAACUUGGUGCAAAAAUGAGCCUUAUGCAAUUUUCAAAUUUUUAGAAUUGUUUUAUUUUUUAUUAUUUUGUAUUCUUUUUAUUUACUGACUGACUCCUAAUAACGACUCAUUCACUCUGAGUUGACUCACUAAAAAGAGUUGUUAUUCUCAUCUCUAUUUCGGACACACAAACGUACAAACGUAUGUGGAAUUGAAGUAAAAACUAAUGACCUAUUUUUUAUGGUUUUUGCUGUUAUAUUGAGCUGAAGUUGUUGCCCAAACAAAGGAGCUGAAGGAUCUUUGCGUAACAUGCAAACGGGCGCAAACAAAGUCACAAUGGCAAAGCAAACUUAAAGAAAACAAUUUGCCAAAACGCGGCAUUCAACACACUCAAAUCAAAGAGUGUACAACAUGUUUACAAAGCAAACAAUACUGAACUGAAGAUAAUUACGUAUCUCACAGGCAAUGCAAACAUAUUUUAUACUGAAAUACCUACAAACACAUCAUAAAAAGAACAAAUAAAAUUUUAUCUCUUUCAGUUUACAAAACCUAACUUUAACUUUAAUUUUUAACUAUAAUAUCAACUUGAUUUGUGAACAUUCAAAAUUCAACAAGGGUCGAUCAUAGAAUUAAGAUUCCAAACAAGAUUCCACCCGCUUUUGUUUUGGUAGAUGAGGAUGCAUAAUAAUUUGAUUACUCGAAUCACCGUAGAACCGUUGCGAAUUCAGAACGGUACACGGAACAAAACCCCCUUCAAAGAAUAUGGAAAACAGUCGAACGGUACACGUUGUAAAUGGGCGCUUGUGAAAACACAUGUGAAACAACGCAUGUCCGUAAACACACGACUAAAACGCGGGUGGCGGCCAGUGACGAACUACCAGUGUUCCCAUAUUUCCUAGCACGUUGACCGUAAACUUCACUUUCCACCCUGACAAUGGUACGCGCCUUACCACCCAAAACAGUGUCCAAAUGCACACGCUUCAUGCGCACACAUAAUAUGUCACACGGAGAUAUAUGGAACGCCAUCACCAUUUUCCAAUCUUCGUACCUGGCACGUGCACUAUUACGAACGGAAGUGAUCAAUCAGUGAGACCUCCGGGGGGCAUUGGUUUUACGUUUAUCUUCCCGUUCCAUUUCUCCACACACUAUUCCAGUCCAGCAAAAGCAAUGGCGCUCUUCAUGCUUCCAUAAUGAUGGAGUCACUUUUAUCACGUACGGUGAAGUCGCGCACUACGGCCAUAUACGGCGAUUACCUCCUUAAGCGAUUGGCGAACGAUGCGUCUAGGAUGUGCAAAAGGUGGGGAAAAAGAUCCCUUCACCGGUGAUCGCGAUCGCAGAAAAUGUUGUCUCUAGCCUCGGGCUGUUUUAUCGUUACAUAAUGAGAUAGAAAGAUGCUUGCAAGCAGGCAGUGUUAUAUCAGCCAUGGUUUUCGGCAAGUUUAUUGGAGUGUGGUAAACUUUGGGGUCAAUGAAAAGCAUUAACAGAGUGCAGCAUUUGUGAGUGAUUGAUUGACAGCGCGAUGACGGUAAUUAGUAAUCUAAAUGUACUAAAAUGCAUUUUUAUUGCCGUAAUCACUGCCGGUUGGAUAGCCAGCCUUACCGAGUCACAGCGCAAUCGACUUAAUGCUUUCUACCCUUCAUCAUGUGCAGACGAUGAUUGUGCGAAGCUGUUCCAAAUGAAAUUUUCAUCUUUUUCGUAAGAUAAAUUUAUCUAUUAAUCUCAUUCACACUGAAAUGUAAAAUACAAAACGAUACACAAACGAAAGUAAUUAUAUUUUAGUGAAAAUCAUUCGUUCCGUUCGCCCAACAAAAAAAAAACCCAGCAACAUAAUGAGCGUGAAUAAAAAAAAUGAAACGAACCACAUUUGCGAUCGACUCAAUUAAUUAACAGCUAAUAAGCCGGUUAAAUGCUUUCGUUUUUUUUUUCUUUUCCUUUCCCUUGCAUCGGAGGGUUGAUAUGCUUUCCAUCCUUCCGGCUGCUAUGGUUAGCGAUCUCCACACAAUUGCAUCUCCACGGUGGAUGUGAUCGGUCGAUCGAUAGGCAGAAGUAGGAAAGAAAUAUUUUUAUUUUUUUUUUGCGGAAAAAAAAGAAUUAACACGCAACAGGAAUCGAUCAACAAAAUAAAACCGGAGGGAAAAUCUUAAACGCAACAAAAGAAAAAAAAACAUUCCGAUCUACUGUUACAGAUUGAUCGUAGAAAUAGAAAUGGAUUAGAGAAAAUCAGCAUUUAGAAAAACGCAUUCCGAUCGUUUCCGUCAUUUUUCGCGCGAGUUGCCAUUUCCGGCAGUUCGCCGCGCCCGGCGGCAUCGGUGCGGUACCUUCCCGAUUGACAGCGGGAAAGGAAAAACCAAUACCCAAUUCGUUAUGUCUCGAAGCUGGUAGAAGAAGAUAAAACGAACCCCGGUUCGUGUACCGGUCUCGGCUUUGGGGUGUGUUAUAAAGAAAUAUUGAUUUGAAGUUUUGCCGCCGUCUGCUUCACAAUCUCAUAGCGCACAAACACCUACGCGACGUCAAACCGGGCGGAUAUUCGUAACCGAGUUAUGCAAAAAUAAAUUUCGCCAGUAAAGAGCUUUUCUUCGUGAUCUCACCUCCCUCUCCCCAAAAUCCUCCUUCCAAAAAAUCCAAUACAAUUCUCCUCUCGAUGAAAACCAAUCGAAGGCGAGUAGAAGUGGCUUAUUUUUUGGGACAACCGGCCUCCGGGGCUUGAUGUCGAUGAACCUACUUUUCCCUGCACUUAAAUUUUCCCCCCUGGUUUCAUUAGGUGGCGAAGAAAGAAAACAAACCAAACACAAGCGUCCAAUGUCCGAAUACACAAGCGUCAUGAUGAUUAUGAGUGAUGCACUUUUUUUUGUUUUUUUUUCGGUUUUUUGCAUCGUGCAAUCGACCUUUCUAUGUCGCGGGAGAAGGAAUGUUGUGGAAUGUGAUGUUAUUAAAUUAAAGCGUUUUUUUUUCUUCGUGCCGUACUUUACGGUCGCGCGAGCCGCCGGGAAUAGAAACCAAAUCCGUCAACUAAUCCUAUUAGAUGUGGAAGGCAAGUUGCUGCGUCAAUUGCAUAUGCGUCUUUUGAAAGGGGCGGUUUUAAACCCGUGAAGUAUUACUCAAAAAAGAUCACUUGGAAUGGAGAAGUAAGAGGAUUGGGGUAAAAGGAAUGCUGAAGGAAAAGGAAGAAUCCAGUACAACGAGUACAGUAGCUUCGGUCUGAGUUCGCUGUUUGUAACGCGUUGAAGUCACUUAUCCUUUCUUGAGCCAUCCAAAAUCAUUGAAUCUGCUGAUCAUUCUAUUUGGUAUCUCUGGAUGUAGGACUCUUUAGAGACAUCGAAUUCUGUGACGAAAUGAGCCGAGAUACAAGUCUCUCUUUUACUUCAACCACCUUGCAAAUCAGACGUCUCAUCGCUAUGGAAAUAUCACAAACAACGGCAUUCAUCAUCAAACCAUUUCAUUGAUUUUUAAUGUAAAAAAACUGAUUUUUUUAUCUUUUCCUUUGAUACAUAAACCUAAUGAAAUAAAUGGUAUUCCUUAUAGGGGUAUGUUAAUUGGUUGAAACAUUUGCAUAAAAUAUGGAAAAUAGAAAGGUUUUCUCCCCCCCGCUUUUCUUCUGUCAAUCAAAUUGGCUAUUCCGUGCGAAGCAAUAAAUGAUCUGAGGCAUUGCCAAACAAUUUAUAUCAAUUUACUAUUGACUCAUUAUAAUCCAUUACCCAAACACAAGCUCGGUCUCGGUGACCGGCCUACAGGGGACUGCUUAACGAUAUUUGCAUUCAGCAGCUCUACACACAUUCGCGAGCACACGCGCACACAAAUUCCAAACCCCGUAAAUAUGCAUGCCUUCAUUAAAGCUAUGCUUGUGCAGCACCGUUGCAUAAUGAACGAUUGCUUUCUCCGGCUCCAAUCAUCCGAAACACUUCCAAACACAGCUGGUUCAGCCCAUUAUGGAGCCCAAAAACAAAACGAAAACAAACACAAAAAAAUAACACCAAACACAAUUGGCUUCGAUUUGGCGCAACAUUCAAUUCAACUGCCAUUUCGUUUUACUGGGGUUUUUUUUUCCUAUGCGGAAACACGUUUAUCUGGUUGAGCUGCUUAGCCUUACGACUAGACAUCCAUAUGUUCGACUGUAAGCGAUCCAUGUGUCGAUUACAUGGUUCUGAUAGACCGUCGCCAUCGUCUGACUGUACGCGAAAUGUUUGAAAAGCUGUCACGCGUCCAGGGCUUUAUCUCUGCCGCAAAAUCUUACAGCCCAACCACCCCAUCCCGCAACCAGACGUCUCUUGGACCAAUUUUGUCCGGAAUGAGUCAAUAAAAUCACAACUUACAAUACGAAAUUAAAACGUACUUCCGAGAAUUGUGCCUAAAAAUGCCGGUCGCCUUAGGAAUUAAUUGCACAGCCAGCACGAAUCGCAUGCAUAGCUUUAGGAAACCCUCAUGCCACGCAUUUAGGGGUUGAAGAAAAUUAGUCUCUCCACUAGAAGAAAAAAAGCUCUAUUCACAUAGCGGUGAAGUAGACGACAAAAAGGUGUUUGCUUUUUUGUUUUGCACACCUCUCAACCUAAAGGUGAGUGGCAUUUAGCUUUUUCGCAAAACAGUGACUGUGCAUUUGUUUUGUAGCUGGCGCUAUUUUUCUUUUGCAAAAAAAAACGUUAUUUGUUGUUUUUUCUUCUCUCUCCUCAUGUUCACGGUGUACACCGGGUCAGCUUUAGGUUCCCACACGAAAGAACAUAACCUUGUUCUCAUUCGGGAUGGAGUGGGCUGUGAAAGUGUAACAUUUUGGGAUGCUGGAGCAAAAAAAAACAAAAAUGUGGGUAAGCAAUGUAUGUUAACGUCAAAAAAGAGACCGUCCUUUUAUUGCUCACAAAAACUCGUUAUGGCAGUGAGUUAUUAUAAACACAUAAGUGCCUUUUUUCCUGGGCGCAAAGCGAAACGUUGAGGACUUUAAUUGAUUUCAGAGUGAUUUUAAUUAACAUUUCACACACUUUGGAGUAGAUUUUCACGAAAUAUUAUCGCAGGACACACACGACCUUCCAUGUGUUUAUUUAAUUAGUGAUGAAAAUUAGAUCUACUUAAGAGAAAUUCAUUUUGAUUAUGUAUGAGUUUUUUUAAAUUUUCUAAACAAUUGGGUUAAGUGUCAUAUCCUUAUGACUUUGUUAUUUAAAGGGAGAUAUACAGUCGGCAUGUUCAGAAAAUUAGACAGUUAUUCUAAAUAUUUUUCAAACUCAAAAUCCUAGCUCUAGUAGAACAAAAAUCUGAUCAAUAAAGGAUGAAGUAAUGGUCCAAAAAGUAAACUCAUUCAAAUGAAAAACAAAUAAAUAAAAAUGCUCAAAUGCAUGUUCAAUACUCUGGUUCGUUGACUUUUAUGUUACUGAUUAGAUUGAAAGGAAAAAGAUUAUGUAAGCGAUAUUAAAUACAUACUAAUUUUAUAACAACAUUUAAUUUCCUAACGAACACAUUACUCAUUCCAAGAUAAAUAUUUAUGUGCUUCAAACGUAGCAACGAAAUGCAUUGUACAGAUCAAUGGCCCAAUGGUACACGUUCAUCGAUACGAAUCCCUACAUAAAUAACAAAGCCCUACCUCCCAUAAAUUAACGACAUAUGAAAAUGCUUCAUUAUUUAUUACCACCAAACGAGCAGUUUUAUGAUUUCUUCACGCAUCGUGUUUUUCUUCCGCUUGAUUCUUGUACCCGUGCGAAUUUGCAUUCAAUUUGUGGGUCCCUAAGUACACGUACCUACCCCUCGGGUGAUGUCAAGGAUACGACCAGCACGCGAAUUCUUGGCCCCACGAGAGCGAUGAAGCAAACAAGCAAAAUGCCUCCAUAGCGUGUGGCAUACCGCAGACCACAGAAGCCUAAAGGCAGCGCUACGAAAGGCUGCACUCGUGAUCGACAUGCCAUUAGACACGGCGUAACCACAACGAAACACUAAACUCCUGCCAGGAGUUCGUCGCGUACGUCUAACGAUCGAUCCGCCACCAUCUCUCUAUCUCACCCAAUCGAUCGAUCGUUUGGAGCAACAAAUGUCUACCAAAGCAGCAAUGUUUUUCUACAUUGAAUUUGUGAAUGUGAAAUUAAAAACUCGAUAUGCAGCAAAAUUCAAUACCACCCCAACUUGACUUGAACCACCCCCAACACCCCCUGUUUCCGAGGCAAGGUCUUACUUUCACUCGAUCUCGUUUCACUCGAAACCGUACCCAAGACGGACGAAUUCGGUCCGGUCCUGGGGCUUCACUGGGGCCACCCCAAUGGUGAACCACGUACGCAAACACCUUCAUUCACCCCAUUUGAACGCAUUGCUCGCAUUCACAUCCCAUGCAGCAUUCAAAAUUUUAAGCCCUUUUGCAAACCCUUUUUUUGCGAUUAAAAAUUUCUUUUCCAUGUUUUCAUGUCCAUGCUGUUUUUCAUUUUCAUCGCGUUCCACAAACGCGUUUCCCACCGCCCGUUUUGUGUGUGUGUGUUUUUCAAAAACCCCUACAAAACAAUGCAAUUGCUCGGGCUCGUUUGCGUACCUUUCCGCGAUCGUUCACUCUCACGAACGCUACGCUUUAAAUGUCUCCACAUAAUCAGAUGACAAUCGACAGACAUUAGGGGUGGUGUCUUAGCUUUCUGCUUUGAGAUGACACAUUAAGGGUGGUCAAGGGUUGCAACCGGGAAUAGUUGAAGGUUCGUCGCUUUGCUUCCCUUUAAAGUCUAUUCGACCAAUUUGAGUCGCCACCCAACUGAUUAGGUAACAAACUGCAAAAAAAAAAACUGUGGAAAAAAGGUGGGUGGUAAAGGUGGUGAUUUUCCCUUCUCCAGGGCACAGUUUUUCCCCUUAUUCGUCUAUAUGGAUUCGUUCCGGUGAAGCGUGUUGUCCAUUAAACCAACACCAUGGAGAACGGCCACAGGAAAAAAAACAACGUAGACCGACCAAGAUUAUUACUGUCGGGUUAAAGUCAAACGAAAAUAUAGUUAUUAUUUUCCGCAAACAGUACCGUCGGUGCUAUUAAAAAUGUGCAUAAGUUUCUUAUCAACCUCGAAGGCUUGGUUGUUGUUUCUUUAUUAUUUUGUUUUGUACCCUUUUUUUCCGAUAACAAUCGUUCGCUAGCAUGUUUGUCUCAAGGUGAAACACUGCUUUCUUUAGUUGCUAGCAUGAACAACUUGUAAGAGUUGGACGAUAGAGUGAUCGUACGAAAUGGGUGACGAAUUCUACCGUCAAAGAGAAAAGAAUAUAAUAUUCAUUCAGUGUGUUGAGAUAUUUAAAACAUAUUUCAUAUUUGUAAAAAAAACCUUCAUUCCAUUCAUGUCACGCACCUUUACCACGACGAUUCGAAAUGAAAGCGUUUAAAGCAGAAAUCUUCUGCUCGGUUUGUGCGGAUGUACACGUUAGGUUCACUGCAUACACUCCCCAAAAAUGAUGUCAUAACUAAAAAGGCACGAAAAAUUCACCUUCCGCUCCCACGGAAAGCACCACGUUACGAACGGGGCGAAAGUUUAGCUGCAAUCUCAACCAUUUGCAAAGGCGCGAAUCAUUUUGCACAUGCAUCGCACGGUUUUAAAAAGAAGCAAAAAAAAAAACACGACCACAUAAAACACCACCAAACACCCUCGGUGGAUUGGCAUGUUUACGGCGGACACCUUCUCCUACGCCGUAUGUUCCACCCCACACCAGCGAGAUGGGAAAUUUCUCACUUUCGCAAGUCUGAUUGCAACAAGCAUAUUGGUUCCCUGCGUGCCUACGGUUUCUCACCCAACGGUUACGGCCGGGUUGGGAUCGUGUUGGAUGGUCAUUUUGCUUUCGACGUUUUUUUUUGGUUUUGUUUUCCUCCUCUUGCAGUGGCGUCGAAAAUAUGCAAACGGUUGCCAGCCUUAGCUACAGUUUGCCUUCUCUCGAAGCUGCUUUAGCGAAGAAAGAAUUGGUCGCCAUCACGCGAAAUGUGAACCAUUCUUUCAGAUUGUUCUGAACCACGCGAAACUGUUUUAUUCAGUUCAAGCAUCUGUGAAUAACAGUGUGAAAAUAUUCUCACAGCUCUAUUACUGAAAUUUGUGCACGAAUCUACAAACCCUAACAACAAUUUUAAAACAAAUCGACAAACGAUUAACAAUAGAAAGGCUAAAAAAAUCAACUUUUAGUAUUGCAAUAAUCUACCUCGGACUGUCUCCCGGAUACGAAAAUACCUUCUCUUUCUAACAAAUAUGAAACUCAUAGACCUUAUUCAUAGACUUAACCACCUCCUUCACAUGCAGACAACCGUUUAAAUGACUCAAUCGAUCGCCACUCGAUCGCUUGAAAUUGAGACAACCCCACCGCUUCAAAGAACGCAGUCACCGAUCCGGCUUUCAGCUGUCACAGACACAGUACCAUUUGUGAACGAUUUACACACCCUUAAGUCCGUUUCGUUUCGGUGAGUGGAAAUAGACACGACGAAAAACAAUUGCCUCCAAAAAAAACAUGCUACAGAUCACAUCAUACAAGCGCUUGCAUCAGUCCGGAUGCAGCGUGUUCACACCGAUCGGGUUCGUCGCUUGUAAGGCGUAGCAGUUCUUUGUAGCAUUUUGUACUCUUUCGCGUUGUUUUCAAAUGGAAAUUCUUUGUUUGACUGUGGUUAUUUCUGUUUUAUACUAUCGUAAAGCUUACGACAUCAUCGUGUGUCCUUGUGGUCGGUCAUAAAUAAUGAUUAAUUGAACAGCUUUGGUUGGAUGAAUAAAUACCACACAAAUGCACCUGUGUUUGGAUAAGGCCGGGGAAAAUAACAACCGAAGAAUGUAUAUCUUCUCGACGAGACGGUAAAUGAGAUGUGUGGCAAGAGCUUGCGUUCGUGUACUAUAACGAGUUUUGAAGUUUCAUUAAGUUCUUUUCUUGCAAAACAAUUGACAUUCUGAGGAUGUCACUCUAGGUGCGGUGAGAUCUUUCCCAAUUUUAUAAACCAAAUUCAUUGACCUUGCAAUAAUCACUACGACAACGGGCUGUCAAUUUUCACACUUCCCAAAACAAUAUCUUACAGACUGUUUUGUUAACAA